rnacentral:rRNA from 1 species
AUUGAACGCUGGCGGCAGGCCUAACACAUGCAAGUCGAGCGGCAGCGGGUCCUUCGGGAUGCCGGCGAGCGGCGGACGGGUGAGUAAUGCCUAGGAAUCUGCCUGGUAGUGGGGGAUAACGUUCGGAAACGGACGCUAAUACCGCCUACGUCAUACGUGAGAAAGUGGGGGAUCUUCGGACUACACGCUAUCAGCUGAGCCUAGGGCGGAUUAGCUAGAACGUGAGGUAAUGGCUCACCUAGGCUACGAUCCGUAACUGGUCUGAGAGGAUGAUCAGUCACACUGGAACUGAGACACGGUCCAGACUCCUACGGGAGGCAGCAGUGGGGAAUAUUGGACAAUGGGCGAAAGCCUGAUCCAGCCAUGCCGCGUGUGUGAAGAAGGUCUUCGGAUUGUAAAGCACUUUAAGUUGGGAGGAAGGGCUGGAAGCUAAUAUCUUGCAGUUUUGACGUUACCAACAGAAUAAGCACCGGCUAACUCUGUGCCAGCAGCCGCCGCGGUAA